UACGUAGGGUGCGAGCGUUGUCCGGAUUUAUUGGGCGUAAAGGGCUCGUAGGCGGCGUGUCGCGUCGGGGGUGAAAGCCCGGGGCUUAACCCCGGGUCGGCAGUGGAUACGGGCAGGCUAGAGGUAGGUAGGGGAGAAUGGAAUUCCGGGUGUAGCGGUGAAAUGCGCAGAUAUCGGGAGGAACACCGGUGGCGAAGGCGGUUCUCUGGGCCGUUCCUGACGCUGAGGAGCGAAAGCGUGGGGAGCGAACAGG
rnacentral:rRNA from 1 species